ACUCAGCCCGCCUGCACCUAGGUGAUUAAAAAGCUUUAUUGCUCACACAAAGCCUGUUUGGUGGUCUCUUCACACAGACCAUGUGACAUUUGGUGCCGUAACUCGGAUCAGGGAACCUCCCUUGGGAAAUCAAUCCCCUGUCCUCCUGCUCUUUGCUCCAUGAGAAAGAUCCACCUUUGACCUCUGGUCCUCAGACCAACCAGCCCAAGGAACAUCUCACCAAUUUUAAAUUGGAGACAGAGGAAACGUGUUCUAUCUGUGAACCCAAAACUCCAGCACCGGUCAUGGACUCGGGAAGACAGUCUUCCCUUGAUGUUUAAUCACUGCAAGGAUGCCUGCCUGAUUAUUCACCCACGUUUCAGAGGUGUCUGAUCACCGCGGGGACGCCUGCCUGGAUCCUUCACCUUAGUGGCAAGUACCACCUCUCCUUGGGGGCAAGUACCCCCCCACCCCUUCUCUCCAUGUCUCCACCCUCUCUUCUCUGGGCUUGCCUCCUUCACUGUGGGCCACCUUCCACCCUCCAUUCCUCCCUUUUCUCCCUUAGCCUGUGUUCUCAAGAACUUAAAACCUCUUCAACUCACAUCUGACCUAAAACCUAAAUGCCUUAUUUUCUUCUGCAAUACCGCUUGACCCCAAUACAAACUCAACAAUGGUUCCAAAUAGCCUGAAAACGGCACUUUCAAUUUCUCCAUCCCACAAGAUCUAAAUAAUUCUUGUCGUAAAAUGGGCAAAUGGUCUGAGAUGCCUGACAUCCAGGCAUUCUUUUACACGUCGGUCCCUCCCUAGUCUCUGUUCCCAAUGCAACUCAUCCCAAAUCCUCCUUCUUUCCUUCCUGCCUGUCCCCUCAGUCCCAACCCCAAGUGUCGCUGAGUCUUUCCAAUCUUCCUUUUCUACUGGCCCAUCUGACCUCUCCCCUCCUCCCCAGACUGCUCCUCCUCAGGUCGCUCCCCGCCAGGCUGAAUCAGGCUCCAAUUCUUCCUCGGCGUCUGCUCCUCCACCCUGUAAUCCUUCUAUCACCUCCCCUCCUCACACCUGGUCCAGCUUAUAGUUUCAUUCUGUGACUACCCUCCCCCACCUGCCCAACAAUUUCCUCUUGAAGAGGUGGCUGGAGCUAAAGGCAUAGUCAAGGUUAAUGCCCUUUUUUCUUUAUCCAACCUCUCCCAUCUCAGUUAGUAUUUAGGCUUUUUUUCAUCAAAUAUGAAAACCUAGCCCACUCCAUGGCUCAUUUGGCAGCAACUCCUAGACAUUUUACAGCCUUGGACCCAGAGGGGCCAGAAGGCCGUCUUAUUCUCAAUAUGCAUUUUAUUACCCAAUCCACUCCCAACAUUAGAAAAAGCUCCAAAAGUUAGACUCCGGCCCUCAAACCCCACAACAGGACUUAAUUAACCUUGCCUUCAAGGCGUACAAUAAUAGAGUAGAGGCAGCCAAAUACCAACAUAUUUCUGAGUUUUAAUUCCUUGCCUCCACUGUGAGAGAAACCCCAGUCACAUCUCCAGUACACAAGAACUUCAAAAUGCCUAAGCUGCAGUGGUCAAGCAUUCCUACAGGACCUCCUCCAUCAGGAUCUUGCUUCAAGUGCCAGAAAUCUGGCCACUGGGCCAAGGAAUGCCCUCAGCCUGGGAUUCCUCCUAAGCCAUGUUCCAUCUGUGUGGGACCCCACUGGAAAUCAGACUGUCCAACUUGCCCAGCAGCCACUCCCAGAGCCCCUGGAACUCUGGCCCAAGGCUCUCUGACUGACUCCUUCCCAGAUCUUCUCGGCUUAGUGGCUGAAGACUGAUGCUGCCUGAUUGCCUCAGAAGCCUCCUGGACCAUCACAGAUGCUUUUGGUACCUCUUACAGUGGAGGAAGACAGAAAUGUCAGGCCUCUGAGCCCAAGCCUGCACGUAUACAUCCACAUGGCCUGAAGCAAGUGAAGAAUCACAAAAGAAGUGAAAAUGGCGGGUUCCUGCCUUAACUGAUGACAUUCCACCAUUGUGAUUUGUUCCUGCGCCACCUUGACUGAGGGAUUAACCUUGUGAAAUUCCUUCCCCUGGCUCAGAAGCUCCCCCACUGAGCACCUUGUGACCCCCACCCCUGCCCACAAGUAAAAAACCCCCUUUGACUGUAAUUUUCCACUACCCACCCAAAUCCUAUAAAACAGCCCCACCCCAUCUCCCUUUGCUGACUCGCUUUUUGG